rnacentral:rRNA from 1 species
UUGACCUCGGAUCAGGUAGGGAUACCCGCUGAACUUAAGCAUAUCAAUUAAGCGGGAGGAAAAGAAAACCCA